GCCAGGUUUUACCUACGUAAGCUAAGAUGUUCUGCAGCCCUGGUUCUGUGAAAUCUCAUUCACAAGUUUCUGGGCUUUUUGUAUCUUGCUGACAAACAGCAACUCUGUGCUGCUCAUUGGGAGACUCAGAUAGUUAUUUCUGCCUUGUAAGGCGUCAUCAGUGAGCCACACCCUCUUCUCAAGUAUCCUCCCUGUAAAGAAGUGGUUUGCCAUUGUCUUCUUCCUAGAGCUUGGAAAGACUGACUGGCCCAAAUAGCUUUGUCGUCCCUAAGAAUUCACAGCCUCCUGGUUUCUAGCUGGUACUUUAACCACUAGGAAAGAAAAAGCUGGCUCUCGGGUCAGGCGUAGAAAUAAUUUUAAAUUCUUUGUGUUGCUUUGUGUUUAAAAGUUAAGUGAAAAUUCCCCAGGAUAGUUUAACUGUGAUAGCUCAGAGAAAUAGGGAACUGAAAUGCUGCUUUUGCCAAAGUAUUUAUUUGUACAAUUCCCUAGGUUUUGCACCACUGCCAUUAAAAGAGAUCCCUGGAUGGGUGUCCACAAAAUUACAAACAAUAAAAUUAUACCGUGGCUUUAAAAUCAGGAGAAAAAAAAACCCUAUACUACCCUACAGUUAAUUUUAAAUUUGCCUUUCAAUUCUUUAUAAUUCCCAGACAAACUGGGGCAUUUUAAAAGCAUGGCAUAAAAUAAAAAAUAUUACAUUGGCA